GGUCUCGUAGUGUAGCGGUUAACACGCCUGCCUGUCACGCAGGAGAUCGCGGGUCCGAUUCCCGUCGAGACCGCCA
rnacentral:tRNA from 1 species